rnacentral:tRNA from 1 species
GGAGAGGUGCCGGAGUCCGGUCGAACGGGCCUCCCUGCUAAGGAGGUGACGGCGAAAGCUGUCCGUGGGUUCAAAUCCCACCCUCUCCG